GAUCAUGGCUCAGAUUGAACGCUGGCGGCAGGCCUAAUACAUGCAAGUCGAACGGUAACAUAAGAAAAGCUUGCUUUUCUUGAUGACGAGUGGCGGACGGGUGAGUAAGAUUUGGGAAACUACCUGAUAGAGGGGGACAACAGUUGGAAACGACUGCUAAUACCGCAUACAGCCUUAGGGUGAAAGAAGAAAUUCGCUAUCAGAUGUGCCCAAACGGGAUUAGCUAGUAGGUGAGGUAAAGGCU
rnacentral:rRNA from 1 species